UGCUCAGGGAUCUCCUGGCUCAGACUUUGCUCCAUGAGGAGCAGAACUGCCAAGUUCCAGUCAGAGAGUGGAGAGAGAACACAUAACUUCUGUUUCCUGUGUUAUGAAAUCCUGGAAACAGCCCUGAAUUUUAAGGAAACCAAGCGCACUUUUGCAGAGAGAUGCAGCAAAAGAGCUCCCUCUCUUGUCCAUUAUGUGUUUUGGCCAGUUUGCAAUGCAAGGAUCAAGUUAAAACUGGAGUGAGGCUGGCAUUAAAUUACAUUGGAUUGAGGGUUUAUCUGGAGUAUUCUGCUUUAUGUCUGUUUAACUGAAAUGUUUGGAAGAAGAUGGGUAGCAAGCAUUGGUAUUCAACACCCAGCUGAAAAAACCCAUCCAACUGUUUCUGGUAAAGCACUAAAAUAUUACUUCUGAAAUAAGUCCUUAAAAACACAGUGGGAGAUAUAUCUUUCUUGAUAUCUAUAAAAUAUUCAACAAAACAUGGGUUCGAUUAUUUUUUUCUUUUUUCAGCUUUCAUUGACAGUAAAACUGCAUUGCACAGGGUAAAAAUAAUCUCUUUAAACCUCACUUUCAGAAUCAGAUUGGCUGGGCUAAACCUAGUUGUGAUAUAAGUCCAAGAAAAAGAUGUUUUUUACAGGAGCUAUUGAGCAACACCUAUUUCUAAUGGUUAAUUACAGUGCAGAGCAGGAAACAACUCAUUUGCCAAAGCACCAGUUUUUCAAGAUAGCUCUAACAGUCUUGCAUAUAUGAAAUAUGGCUUUCUGGGCACAACUGUAAUAAGAGUUGCAUGUUCAGUGUUAAAGGCUCCUCCUAAUUUGUGCCAUACCUUGUGAAGUCAAAGUGGUAUGUUUGUAUGCUCGGUUUUUCAAUCAAAAGCUUGCAUUUAAUGGGAAAA